rnacentral:lncRNA from 1 species
AUGUAUUUAUGCACACAAAGGUGCGAGCAGCUCUUUUCCCAAACAAAUGUCCAUAUGAUGCCUGCGCCGCGCUCUCCGCACAUGCUCACCGCGUGCGUGUGGCCCGCCGGCCGCGCCGCGCUGCCCGGGUGCGCGCGGGGCCAGGCCGCCCCCGACCACGCUAGAGCCCGGCCGGCCUCCCCGGGAAAGUUAACCGGCGCCUCCCCGCCCCCACCCGGCCCGGAGGCGCCCCGCACCCGGCGGCGCGCGGCGGUGGGGGCGGGGCGGCCGGGGGCCCGGCGGCGCCUGGGAGCGCCCGCGGGUCUUGCUUUCUUUUUAAACGCCUGCGCCGCACCCGCCCAGCCCCCAGCGCCGCCGCGGCGGGCGGGAGGCAGAGGAGCGGGGCCGGCGAAGGCCCCCCCCGCCGCGCCGCCGCCGCCUCCUCCCCGCGUCCGCCGCGCCCCUCCCCCGCCGGCCCCUCCCCCGCGCGCCCGCCCGGCGCAGGCCGCUCGGGUUUGUUUUGCUGCGCGGCCGCCGCCGCCGCCGCCGCGGGCCUCGCGAGCUCAUUUGUGCCUGGCUGGUCCCCAUUCCUCUCUCCCCAGUGUUGAGUGUCUGAGCCGUUGGCUGCUCCGAACCGUUUGGCUCUUUCCCUUAGUAACAGCUUUUACCUUCUGCCUCAAUUCCUCUCCCCGCUCGCGCCCUUCCCCCGCGCGCCGCCUCCCCCCGCCGCCGGCCGCGUGCGCCCCCGCCCCUCCCCCCGCGGCGGGAGCACCUCCGCUCGCCACCUGGGGACCCGCGCCGCGCUCCCCGCCCCCGCCCGCCCGGCGCCCAUCCCCCGCGCCCUCCGCUCGCCGGGGUUAUAAUUGCCUCUCACCCCCCGGAGGGGUUAUUUUGGGGGUGGUUGGAGGUGGCGGCGGCGGCGAGGAGGGGAAUUUCCUUGUGCCUCCAUUCCCGGGAGGGGGGAGCGGCGUCGGAGGCCACCGUUUCCAGUUAUCAUCUUUGUGUGUGUUUUCCUUUACUUUGAAAGUAAGGUAAAUUUCCCUUCCCUGUAAGGGAAAAUCUCUUCGGCCUUAUAGUAUAGAUAAGUAAUUUGGUGUUUAGUUUUGCCUGUCCAUGUAUUACUACACCCCCACCCCCACCCCCGCCCCCCAACACACACACAUUUUUCUUCUCUCUGUUCAUCUUGCUCCUCUUUUAUUCUGUUAAGUUUUUCUCAGAUGUUUGGGGAAUCGUGGCUGAUACUGGCGGUUGAAGUGUGUCUGCCUCAGUAAGUAGUUCUUUCUCCACCAGGCCUUUGUGUUGAGUGGUAGUUUUGGUGAUAGAUUCUUAGAUGUGGACCAGCAGACCAGCCCUCCGAGAGAGAGUGGCUGAGGAGUGGGUAAGGUAGUGUGCCUCUCGCCUGCAUAACUGUGGAGUCUUUAAGUAAUGCAGUGGAGUAGUACUUUUUUAGAUUUCACUCAGAUAGUAUUCAGAUUGCUCCAUUGCCCCUCUUUUCUUUGCCUUUUCCCUUUUUCCCCUUUUAUUUCCCUCUUAGUGUUGGAAGCUUGAUGGUCCUUCCAUCUUUCUGCUCUGCUUUUCCCUCAGAUCUGGCUACUCUCAUAAGAAGCCUGACCCAGGCAGAAAUGCCUUCUUUAUGGAGAUCAGCUCCCUGGCUCUAUCUUAAAGGCAGAAGCUGCCACCCCUUGCAUCUCAGUUCACAAAGAGAGGGGGGAGGGGAUCAUCUGUCCAGAGUAGGGUAAUGUAGCCCCCUGAUGAAGUCCCCUAAUUGUUUCCUCCUACUGGGAGUUGUGAUUAAUUUGAUUAUAACUUAGAAUUUCUCUCUCUCGUCCUGGAAAAGACUUUAGUGUCUGACAUAUGAUUUCAUCCUUUUUCCCUCUUUUAUUCCAGUCUUGCCAUUAUAAUUUCUAUAUACCCAGAAUUCUUUAAAAUUUAUGAUUGUCCAGUGAUGUCUUUUCUUGAUCUGCAACGGUGUUAUCAUUUAAAGAUAAUUA